UCGCCCUACGGGGGGCAGCAGUGGGGAAUAUUGGGCAAUGGGCGCAAGCCUGACCCAGCAACGCCGCGUGAAGGAAGAAGGCUUUCGGGUUGUAAACUUCUUUUGUCAGGGACGAAGCAAGUGACGGUACCUGACGAAUAAGCCACGGCUAACUACGUGCCAGCAGCCGCGGUAAUACGUAGGUGGCAAGCGUUAUCCGGAUUUAUUGGGUGUAAAGGGCGUGUAGGCGGGAAUGCAAGUCAGCUGUGAAAACCCAAGG
rnacentral:rRNA from 1 species